GACGUAGGGUGCAGGCGUUGUCCGGAAUUAUUGGGCGUAAAGAGCUCGUAGGCGGUCUGUCGCGUCGGCUGUGAAAACCCGGGGCUCAACCCCGGGCCUGCAGUCGAUACGGGCAGACUAGAGUGCGGUAGGGGAGACUGGAAUUCCUGGUGUAGCGGUGAAAUGCGCAGAUAUCAGGAGGAACACCGGUGGCGAAGGCGGGUCUCUGGGCCGUAACUGACGCUGAGGAGCGAAAGCGUGGGGAGCGAACGGG
rnacentral:rRNA from 1 species